rnacentral:rRNA from 1 species
GGAAACAGAUGCUAAUACCGGAUAACAACAGAUGAUGCCUAUCAACUGUUUAAAAGAUGGUUCUGCUAUCACUCUUGGAUGGACCUGCGGUGCAUUAGCUAGUUGGUAGGGUAACGGCCUACCAAGGCGAUGAUGCAUAGCCGAGUUGAGAGACUGAUCGGCCACAUUGGGACUGAGACACGGCCCAAACUCCUACGGGAGGCAGCAG